GGGUUCAUAGCUCAGCUGGUUCAGAGCACCUGCCUUACAAGCAGGGGGUCAUAGGUUCGAAUCCUAUUGGACCCACGA
rnacentral:tRNA from 1 species